rnacentral:rRNA from 1 species
GUUAGGAAUAUUGGACAAUGGGCGAAAGCCUGAUCCAGCCAUGCCGCGUGAACGAUGAAGGCCUUCGGGUUGUAAAGUUCUUUAGCCGAUGAUUAUAAUGACUGUAGUCGGAAAAUAAGCCCCGGCUAACUUCGUGCCAGCAGCCGCGGUAAUACGAAGGGGGCGAGCGUUAUUCGGAAUCACUGGGCGUAAAGCGUGCGUAGGCGGUUUUGUAAGUUAGGAGUGAAAGCCCAGGGCUCAACCUUGGAAUUGCUCUUAAAACUGCAAGGCUCGAAUCUCGGAGAGGAUAGCGGAAUUUCCAGUGUAGCAGUGAAAUGCGUAGAUAUUGGAAGGAACACCAGUGGCGUAAGCGGCUAUCUGGACGAGUAUUGACGCUGAGGCACGAAAGCGUGGGGAUCAAACAGGAUUAGAAACCCUAGUAGUC